UCUAAGAAUGGUUAAGAAGCUGGGAAAGAACUGGAAUCACCGAGGGGCUAUUUUGUUUCAGCUACUGGGCUAGAUAGAUAUUAUUUUACAUACAGUGUCUGAUAUAAUUUUCUUUUGUUUCCUAAGAGGUAUCUCUUUUUACAUUUUUACAUGUGAGGAAACUGAAGCUGAGAGAAGCUGAUUGAGGAUGAACAGAAAGUAGGAGGAGGCAGAUAACCAUUCAGCAGGAUCACAAGGAGUGUCAGGAAUUAGAGAGCCCUUUCUAUUCACUGACUACUUGAGAUGAUGAGGGCUCGUUCUCUCCUUGGCUUCCUUUUUUUGUGGCACUGUCCUGGCAGCGUUUGAAGGAUGACUGAUUUGUAGUACCCAGUGGACUCCUGGAUUGCUGCACAUCGCUGAGUAUUCCCCAGGGCCUCCUCCCAGAAUGGGUAAUAUCUUGCUGGGCAUCACUUAAAUAUUUGGGCAGACAGGAUGCGGCUAUGAAGUCCACCUGUGGAUUCUCAAACACAUGUUUCUUUGAGAUGGCUUGGAAAUGGUGAUGUGAUGGGUAUCUUGAAAUGCCUGAACCAGGAGCUAAUGGGGUUGCUGUUACGGGGUCCAAGAAAAGAGGGAAGAAGCAGUACAUGAGUAGUUUGCUGAGGAUGUGAUGAUAGAAAUGGAGGAAUCCAGAGAGUAGGUGACUUUGUAUAGGUUGCUUGAGUAUCCUUACAAUAGGGUAUCUGCCUCCCCCAGAAAGAACAACCUAAGAGAUCAAUCGAGAUGGAAACUACAAUGUCUUUUGUGACCUGGUCUCAGAAGCCACAUAUCAUUUCUGUUUAUUCUGUUAGUUAGAGGUGAGUCACUAGACCCAUUCCACGUUCGAAGGAAGCAGAAUUAGGUUGUGCCUUAUCAAAGGAGUACCAAAGAAUCGUGGACCUAUUUUGAAUCAAUCAUAGCAAACAUUUGUGGACUUUCCAUUGGUGAAGUCAACCUCAUGGGUGUUAUCUGGUCUUGCACCAUGUAGCUAGCAUUGUACCCAAGAUAGUACUUGUAACAGGUGUUCCAGUUGUAAAAUGCCACAGGUGUACCACUAGUUUGUGGUGAGAGAGGAGGCAAGAAGGAAGAGAUCAAGUGGAGUCAGACUUCUCUCAUCAGGGUACCAAGUGGUGACGGCUCUUUAGGGCUCUCUGGAGGCCUUGCACAUCAUCCCAUGCUGGGGCUGACAUUUGGAAAUCUGUUACUCCAGGGUUUCUGUGGCUACUGAGAGACAGAGAAAUGAUGACAGCCAACAGAGAGAGGAAAUUCCCACCACUGUCAGAAUGCAGACCGUAGGACCCUGAGGCCAGUGCAGGAAGAGGCCUCCCAGAAGACAAACCCAGGAUAAGGCCACCCUCUUCCACCUACUCUAAUUAUCCUUUUGGGGAUUUAUGCCCAGUCCUUUGGGGGACAUGGGAACUGAACUCUGCCCUGGAGAUCUGCAGAAAGAUCCAUGAAAACCAUUUGGUAAAGGUGUUGCCCAUUAUGACCCCGCAGAGCUGCAACUCAGCAUCAGUGGCAACAAAAGAAGCUCAGAACCUCAUUUUUUCGUAAAGGGACGGCCUGCAUGGCAUCUCUGGCUGAGCUGCUGGGAGCCCUUGGCCCCCGCUCUGCAUAUCGCUGGGUGGUGGGCUUAGCUCUCCACUGCUCUUCACCCUGCUGUUCUGACAACUCCCACUGAAAUGUUAGGAUCAACACAGGGGCAUCUAGGAGUCAGCAGAAUGCACACCAUGGUUAGGAAUGUGGAAUCUUCAGAUCAUGGAGGGAGGAGGCAGAAAGGCAUGGGAGUCCAUUGUGGAGCCCUGUGAUUGGCUCCCAGGAUCAGAUCGGAUGUCCUGCUGAGAACAGAAGCAAAAGUGAUUGUAUGUCCUUAAGGACAAGUCCCUGUUUCCAGGCUCUGCAUAUUCUAAUGUGUGUCUUCCUUUCUUCAUAUCCAUAUAACGCCUGAGCAUGGGAAAAUCAUGCUCAUGAAAUCAUGCUAAUGGCAUUGAGUCCUGGGCCACUUCAAAGUAGGUACCUACCUGCUGCAGAGUGCAUGUAGUUUUGGUGUGUGGGCACCUCAUGCAUUCGAUUCCUUAACCUGUGCAUUUUUAUAGAGAGUCCCCCAGAGGGCAGCAGAGAGCAGUCCCAUGGCCCUAACGUGGAACAUGGUGAGGUGGGGAGAGGGCUGGUGGUUUCACAUUCUACAUAGGCUGCUGAGGGACUAGCUUGUGAUUUGGGAAGCUUUAAAAUUAACAGUAGAAAGGAGGAUGCAUGGAGUAAGGAAUUUGGAACUUCAUGACCCUAAAAACCAAGUGUGUCUGCCCAUCAGACAUGAGAAAACUUGGGAGGUUAUAGAAGUCAAUGUGAUGGGCAAACAUUUUCAGUGAGCAGUUGUGUGUGCAUUGUCAUUGAGAAAAACACUGGGCUUAAUUAAGACUUCGUGGUCUUUUAAUGACAUUUGGUGGAGUGUGACAUCAGGAACGCUUUCUAGCAAGUCUGCUUUGACAUUCCUCCUACUGAGCUAUGGUAACAUCUGUCUAUCCCUCUGGGCUAUGAGCUUUUUGAGGGCAGGGACCAAGUGCUAUUGAAAUACAUAUUUCCAAACCCCCAGAAGAACACCUGCUACAUCAUGGGUGCCAGGAAAUUGUUUAGUGGAUGAAGUUCAACUGUCAGCUACCAAGUCUUUAUAGUUAUAAAAUAAGCUGAAAAAGUCUGCUUUCCUUUUUGCCAGACUGUUUGGGUUGUCCCCAAAUUUCUGAGGUCAAACAACCACGUUCAUAAUCAUCCUCAAUAGCGUCUCUUUCUGAGCAGCCCUGGAGCAGCCCUGGUGGCUGCCAUCU